UUUAGGGAUUUUACACUUACCCUUUACACGUACUUGACACCUUGCCCUCCACCGCAUCCAGAUUACAGAGAUGGAUAGAGAGAGUAGCACGGCAGAGACAGAGAGAGAGAGGAGCGGCGGAGAUGGAGGACCGGCCAUCGUCUCCUGUCGGCCACCCUCUUGGCCUUCGGUCAGACCGGUGGUGGGUUGUCGUGGUUAAUACGCGUGAAACGAGGGUUUGGCGGUAGCUAAAGCUGACAAUGACGGCUGGGGGUUCUAGGGUUCCGAAUAAUGUACCGGUGACUCUCAUCGGACGAUCUAGAGAAAGAAUGGGAGACUGGAAGCAAACAACGACAGAAGGCGGUGGUGCUCCGUCCGGUAUCAAGACACAGAUUAGGGAGAUAGAGAGAGGAGUAAGAGCGAGAUAAAGAUUAGAGAGGUAGUAGAUGGAACAGAGCAAUGGUGAUGGAGGAACAGGCAGUGGUCUCCGCCCGGCCACCGACCGGUGGUGAUGGUCUGGCGGUUUUGACGCACCAAAAAGAUAGAAGGCGGUGGUGCUUAAGGGUUCCAAUGUGACAGUAUGAAGACGGCGAUAAUAAACCUCCCGUUAGACUACUCUUUUCUUUUGCCAGAUCAGAACAUCAUGUCCUUUCAACAAUGGGGGAGGGGGGCGAUUUGCAGUUACUUGCUUGGUUAAAAAUGUAAGAUGAUGAUGGUGAAGGUUCUAGUGACAUCUUAGAAUAAGGAGACGAAGAAAAAGAUUGAUUCUAUGAUGAAGGCUGCGGCAUUUAGACACCAUAGGACAAAUCAACAGGUACAUGCAAAGGGUUUGUGGAGGUUAGAUUCAACGAUCUUUUUAUUUCAAAUCAGCCGGUACAUCCAUGUAUGUGACACCGACACACCAUUUUAUUUUGGUACCAUAGGUUCGAAGAGCAACGAUUUGUAUAUAUUUUGAUUUGAUACUCUUGGCCUCUUAGGCUGACAUAUUCUGUAUCUACAUUUUGAACGUUCGCUUUUGAGAAUUAGGUGGUCACCUGCUUGGCAUCGAGUUUGAACUUCUAGACGUGAAGUUGGUUCCCACCAGUGGCGCAUCGAGUUUUUCGGGUCCUUUAUCUUCUAUCAUGGCUUCCUCUUCUUCAAAGAAACUUUAGCGUUUGGAAAUCAGAUUCCGCUUUCAGAUUUCUUCGAGUUGAUUGCUCUCUCCACAAAUUGUAUCUGAAGAUGACAACUGAAGCAAUGCAUGUUCCGAAAUCUGGAUUCAGUUUUCACAUGUGUAGGAGAAACAAGAUGAUGACGAAGAAAGGGUUAAAAUCUAUGGGCAUCUUAGCAUCCGAACUACUAUUGUUGGCUAAAUCUUUGAGGGGAAACUAUCUAAACAAGAAGACAAAGGUUCAUAACUAGACUCUGCUCCGAAGCACAAACUCUGAAACGCACGCCCAUGACAAAACUACAUAGUGUUGCAAGCACGAUGUGUUUUGGGAGUUCAGUCACCAUGAACAUGUGUUCCAAAUGCCAAGAAAUGAUAUUAAAGCAGGAAAAUGCCACAGUUGGAUUUAUCUUUUGAUGACAUCAUCAAUCAGCAGCAGCAGUGUAGUUGAAUGUGUUUCCAAUUCAAGCACCACCUAAUGAAGACUCAUCGUCAACUCAA